ACCUGACUGCUAUCGGAUUGAUACUAAGCCAUGCGAGUCAUUGUAGCAAUACAAGGCAGACGGCUCAGUAACACGUAGUCAAUCUAACCUAUGGACGGGGAUAACCUCGGGAAACUGAGAAUAAUAUCCGAUAGGCCACCAUGCCUGGAAUGGUUUGUGGCCCAAAUGAUUUAUCGCCGUAGGAUGGGACUGCGGUCUAUCAGCUUGUUGGUGAGGUAAUGGCCCACCAAGGCUAUAACAGAUACGGGCUCUGAGAGGAGAGGCCCGGAGAUGGGUACUGAGACACGGACCCAGGCCCUAUGGGGCGCAGCAGGCGAGAAAACUUUGCAAUGUGCGAAAGCACGACAAGGUUAAUCCGAGUGUUUUCUGCUAAAGAAAUCUUUUACCGGUCUUAAAACCACCGGCGAAUAAGGGGUGGGCAAGUUCUGGUGUCAGCCGCCGCGGUAAAACCAGCACCUCAAGUGGUCAGGAGGAUUAUUGGGCCUAAAGCAUCCGUAGCCUGCCGUGUAAGUUUUCGGUUAAAUCUAUGCGCUCAACGCAUAGGCUGCCGGAAAUACUGCACGGCUAGGGAGUGGGAGAGGUAGACGGUACUCGGUAGGAAGGGGUAAAAUCCUCUGAUCUAUCGAUGACCCCCUGUGGCGAAGGCGGUCUACUAGAACACGUCCGACGGUGAGGGAUGAAAGCUGGGGGAGCAAACCGGAUUAGAUACCCGGGUAGUCCCAGCUGUAAACAAUGCAAACUCAGUGAUGCAUUGGCGUAAGAGCCAGUGCAGUGCCGCAGGGAAGCCGUUAAGUUUGCCGCCUGGGAAGUACGUACGCAAGUAUGAAACUUAAAGGAAUUGGCGGGGGAGCACCACAAGGGGUGAAGCCUGCGGUUC
rnacentral:rRNA from 2 species